rnacentral:rRNA from 1 species
UACGUAGGGUGCAGGCGUUAAUCGGAAUUACUGGGCGUAAAGCGUGCGCAGGCGGUUUCUUAAGUCAGAUGUGAAAGCCCCCGGGCUUAACCUGGGAACUGCGUUUGAUACGGAUGGGCUAGAGUUCGGGAGAGGAGAGUGGAAUUCCCAGUGUAGAGGUGAAAUUCGUAGAUAUUGGGAAGAACACCAGUGGCGAAGGCGGCUCACUGGACCGGAACUGACGCUGAGGCGCGAAAGCGUGGGGAGCAAACAGG